rnacentral:lncRNA from 1 species
ACGAUAUAUUCAGCUUCAGAAGGUCACAGCCUCUUUAUGGUUCAUUCAAGGGAAAUCAUGUGAAAUUGUAGAGACUUGAGAAUUACAUAUCUGGAUUUGCAAAUGGAAUGGCUUCACCUUUGACAAAAUUGUCGAAGAAUAGCAUCGGUUGCAGACAGCAGAUUUGGGAGAAAGAAUUUGAUAGCGAAACCCAAAUCUUAAAAUCUAAGCAACCAGAUUCACCAAAUAAGAAAACCCUAUUCGAAUUCAAUUGAUUUCAAAAGAAACAACAGCAAAAAUCAUCGAGAGGGAAAACUCACAGAGAAGGGAUUGACUACGUCUUCUUCUGCAAAAGGUUAGUGCCGUAACGACCAACCAUGGGAGAGUGAGAUUUGAGCGCCCAAAGAAUCUUGGUUUUUCUAGAAAACCUUGUUGUAAGGAUGUAUUAGUACUUUCAUAUUAAGUUUUGGUUAUAAUUAUCGAGAGCUGUUAUUCCCACCCCAAUGUCUUAUCUUCCCACCCACUUUUUUAUGAAUUUUUUAAUUACAAAUUUGUCAAUUUGUAAAUUGACUAAUAAGGACCUUAGUUACCCAAUUUAAUUUGCAUUACUUUUUUUUUUAUAAAAAAAGAAAAAAGAAAAGUUUGGGCGUGAUAACUCUCACGCUAUGUUUAGACGAUUUGUCUCUCUUAAACCCUAACUCAUCAUUCUCAUCUCCUUUCAUUCAGAGAAAGCAAAAGAAUGAAUUGAUGUUUCUAUGGAAGAAGUAGAUGAUUAUGUUUAUGUCGAAGAUGUAAAAGAUAAUUUUAUGUGGGUCAUCUUGAUUUGUCGACAUCGUAUAAUUGAAGUAUGGCUCUGUGACUUUUUAUCUCUAAUUAUAUAUAUAUGUGUGUGUGUGUUUGUCCAAAAUAUAUAUAUAUAUAUAUAUAUUAAGGGUUAUUUUAGGAAUAAUAGUGGGUGGGAAAAUAACAUUUUAAAUUUUUUAACUUUUUAUAGUAGGUGUAAAUAUAACGUGGGUGGGAAAAUAAGACAACGGGGUGGGUCUAGUAGCUCUCUAAUUAUCAUACACUUAAAAUGAUGGCUAUAAUUCUAUAUGAAGUUCAAAUUUUGGUUUUUUUCAAAAUUUCCCCUAGUGGAUCCGAUUUCCUUUUCUUACUUUUCUUAUUUCUAAGUUCUCCCAUUCCUUAUUUAUUCCAUUUUUGUUAAGUAAACAUGCCCUUAGAAUCUAACUACAUAUUUCAGAGUCACUUACUACUACAGUCUAGUACUAUUCUUCUUCAUUUGAAACUAAAAAAUCCUAUAUUGGAUUCUUACCAAACACAAAUUCAAACCAAAUUAUUAGGGAAAUUGAUAUAAAUUGGCCAUUUUAGUAAUAUUGGUAUCAAAAUAGAACAAAUCGGCCAUGCAAACUCCAUGCACAAAGUGAAAUGAUGAAAAUGAGAUUUUUGGAAUGCCAAUAACAAUUCUCUUAUACUUACAUCUCAUUGCUUCAUUUUCUGAUUUCAAAAAAGAGCUGUGAACUCUGGAUUUUUGGAUUGAGCUCAGAUCUAUGAGCAUAUCAUGUGCAUAUCGUGUACCUAUAAUGUACAUACAGUGUAUAUAGUGCGUAUUUUUAACUUGUUCACAAAAAACAAGGUUUCUUCUACCAAUUUCUCCUCCGUCAUUGAUCUCACCGCCCCUUCUGCUGACCUCGCAUCUAGGGAUGGGCAAAAUACCCAUGGAUUUGGGUAACCGUGGUUACUCGCCCAUUUAAAGUUGGCGGUUACGGUUAUGGAUAACCGUUUAGACAAAAUAAACGGUUAUGGGUAUAACCGUUUAUCCGUGAAAUUUAAAUGGACGGUUAUAAGUAUUAUCCGCGGUUAUAACAAGUAUCCAUCGGUUAUAGGUAUUACCCGCGGUUAUAACGGAUAUCCAUUUACCCAUUUAAUUUAAUAUAUGUAAAAUUAAAAAAAAAAUUAAAAAAACCCUCAGAGAAAUCACAAAAUUGAAUUCCACCGAAAUUGAAUUGGAGGGGCCAAUAGGGUUUUGUGGGUGAGAGGAUGAUGGUCUUAUGACUACUUUUUCCAUUUUGGUUUUGUGUUAAUGUAACCGAUUCAUGUCUAUAAAGUUAUAAACUGAUUCAUGAAAUUGCCAUACAAGCAGCACACUGUUAUAUCAGUGGUGUUUUAUAUCAGUUGGUUUUGCAUAAUGCCAUUUUGUUAGUAAACGAACAGUUGAUUGAGUGGUGUUUUAUAUCAGUUGGUUUUGCAUAAUGCAUUAUGUUCAUGCUAAUUGGUGUCGGUGUUCCUAAAUGGGAUACUAAUUCAAUUUAUACAUUUCUUUUGUAAGCCGCUUUUGGUGACAAUGAGUCGAUGAUACUUUGUGAUUGAACGUGUUCGAAAGUGUUUAGUUUCAGAAUAUUUUGGAGUUUUGAAUCAUCUAGUAUUCAAGAUAAUGACUACUUUAUGUUUUUAGAAGCUUUACUUUGUAAUCAUAUGAAUUAUAAUUAAAGACUUGCUUGGGUGUAGCAGAAAAAUAACGUUCGUAAACUAUUAUUUCAAUUAUUGGAAUUGUAUGAGGACUUAAAUGAUUAAAAUAGGGAAAUGCAUGCUAAAAUGUACCUAUAACGGUGUUUAAUUGUCAGAAAAUGAAAAUUAUGACAAAUUUUUAUUUUGUAAUUUUCAAGUUGUUAAAAAAAACAUGUAGACGGGUGAAAAAAUGGGUAAAUGGGUAAAAAAAGAUAAACGGGUUCAAAAAUGGGUAAAUGGUUAUAGUUAUGGUUAAAUGAGUAAAUGGUUAUGGUUAAAUGGGUACACGAUUAUAGGUAUGGAUAACCGUUGAAAAACCUGAAAGAACAAGAACAAGAAAUGCACUAUCUCUUUUCUUUUCUCUUGCACACACUUUACAGUAUUCUCUCACUCUAAUCCCUUGAGUGGUAUACAAUUUAUUGUUUUGCUCCCUCCCAAAACUAGUACAAUAGCCCCUUUAUAUAGAUAUAAUAAAGGUCUUCUUCAAUAAGGAUUAUUAAUCCUAAUUGGAAUUUAGCUAUGAAUCCUACUCCAAUUGAGAAACUAACUCCAAUUGGGAAAACAACUCCAAUUGGGAAAACAAUUUAAUCCUCUAAGACUAUUAAUUCCCAAUAGACUUAGGACAACUUAUAAUGGGUUGGAAAAAAACCCAACAAUCUCCCCCUCCAGACCAUGAGGAAGGCAUACCAAAAUAGGAUUGCUCCUCUUGACCAAACUCCCAUUGAUCGAACUUUUCAUGACUAGACUCCCCCUGAUUGAACUACCCAUAACCAAGCUCCCCUUGAUCGAACUACUCAUUAACCAAGACCCUCUUGAUUAGACUUCUCUUGACCAGGCUCCCUCUGAUCGCAAUACCCAUCGUCAUUGGCAAAGGCAAUUAUAGACUUCUUUGCCAAAAAACCAUCAAUCAUCUGCAUCAAAUAAGCUCUUCAUCGUAAGUCACAACACCUGCAAUAUUGUUCCCAUCCUUUUGUUCUUUUUUCCAUUUACGACAAUGCUUCUUCAUGUGACCCUUUUUCCCACAAUAGUGGCAGUUUCCAUUGAAUCUCGUCUCACCGGAAUUUUUGCCUCUUUUCUCUAUGACAAAGAGUUGUCUAGCUCCUGCACCUGAAGCUUUUCUCCUUGUUUCUUCAUUAAACAUGCUAUCCUUAACAGCAUCCAUAGACAGUACGCCAUUAGAAGCCGAAUUGCUUACAGUUACGACAAAGGUUUCCCAACUAUCUAGCAAGGAUCCUAGCAAUAAAAGUGCUAGCAGCUCUUCUUCAAUAUUCAAACCCAUAGUGGCUACCUGAUUGAUCACGUUCUGAAAGUUGUUCAAGUGCUCGGUUACACUAACAUCUUCCGCAUACUUCAUGUUGACAAGCUCUUUGAUAAGGAAUGCUUUCUUGGCAGCGGUCUUCUUCUCAAAGAGGGAUUCUAACUUCUUCCAAAGAGCUUGCGCAUCAAUUUCUUUAGAUACAUGGUGAUAGAUGCUCUCAUCCACCCAUUGUCUAAUCGUACCAAUAGUUUUACAAUUCAUCUUGGUCCAAUUAGCAUCAGACAUAUUUUCUGGCUUGCUCUUAACACCUUCAAUUGGCUUAUGGAGAUCUUUACAAUAAAGCAUGUCCUCCAUUCUUGAUUUCCACGUAACCCAGUUGGAGCGGGUGAGUUUCAUCAUAAUUGAACCCUCCAUUCUAAACGGAUAUCAGCCGAACUUGGCUCUAAUACCACUUGUUGAGAAUAUCGCGUUUAAGAAUGGGAAAAACAAGAACAUACUCCGGAAAUUGAAAAACAAAUAACCAAGAUAAAUAACACCAAGAAUUUACAUGGUUCGGCAAUAUGUGCCUACAUCCACGGGACAACAACAACAAUCUUUCACUAUAUCAAUAAUGAGUACAACCAAUAAUCAGGUUACGGGUAUAAACAUUUAUGCAAUUACCCAACGGGUAAACGGUUAUGCGGGUAUAGAUAUAAACAGUUAUGAGUAAGUAACCGCGGUUACCCGCCCGCCAUAACCGUUGCCCAUCCCUACUCGCAUCCCCGGUGCUCGGCGAUUUCGCAUCCCCUUCAAUCCCACCACUAACCCAGCCCCAUGUCUCCCGACACCUCCUUCCCCAACCUAGUCUCCCCCGUGACCAGGACUUGGUAACUCCCGACACCUCUGAAACCUUAGAGUUCAAGCACGACAAAGAUUGGAAAAAAGAGAACAAAAACCCAGAAAAAGUCUAAGUGAUCCCAAAUCACUUCUUGUGUCAAUCCAAAUGUCACUUCUACGGUUGCAUGUUCACUUUACAAGCACUAAAUCAAAAGCCGUUUUUCAUGUACUACCAAAUUCAUAUCAUUAUGUCUGUACUUUUCAUGUUAAGAAACUUGGCUUCGUGAAUUUGUUCAGGUCCAAUUCAAAAUGGCAUAGAAGAAGAAGAAUUUGAUUUGAUGGUUCAUGCCCCAGAUCUCGUCAAGAUUAUUGAAACCUCAAUCCGCACUUAUCAGCUUUUCCUGAAGAUGGAAGUCGCUUGUUUCUUAAUUUGCUUUAAUUGAACUUCUUGUUUCUUUGUUUGAGAAUUGUGAUAGAUGUAGAGAGAUUGAGUAGCGAGAGAGAGGUGGGUAAGAGUCGUAAGACGGGUUGAAGAGCAAUUCCAAUUUAACUUCUUCUCCUUCCUCUUACUCUCGCCCCGUUGGGGGUUAGGGUUCGUCGAAAGGGGAUGCGAGAGAGGACUUGGCAAUGGAUCAAGAUCCUCUCCUGAGCAGAUGGAGAGGAUCCUCCUGACCAGGCCCAUCGGGCCGUUCAUUUUUUAUCCAACGAUUAUAAUUAUUAUAACUUUUAGAGGGGCUACCUGUUUGUAGCUGUUGGAUAAAAAAUGAACAGUCCGAUGAGCCUGGUCAGGAGGAUCCUCUCCAUCUGCUCAGGAGAGGAUCCUGGUCCCUUGGCAAUAACCCAUUUAAGGGUCAAUUUAGUUAUUUUAAGUUUUUUAAAAAAAAUCUAUUUCUCAUACUGUUGAACAUGUGCAUGUUCUAUGCAUAUCUUAAAAUCCUAUUUUGGUCCCAAAAAAAUAAGAAAAAAUAAUUUUAUUUAAACUUAUGUAAUUUUUUUACUCAAGUUAAAUUUUAAAUGUUAAUUGUCUUUUUUUACCUUAUUGCAUAAUUAUCAUCAAGUACAAGAUAAAAUUAAUAAUAAAACUAAAAUUAUUCAAUAAACCCACACACUAUAAUCAAACCCUACAUCACUCCUACGAUCAUUCUGGCUAAUCCCAGAUAAUUAGUUCCAGAAUUAGGAGUGCUUCAAAUUGUUUAGAAAACAAUUGAUCAAACAAACAAUGACAACUUACGUUAACAGUGGAGUUGUUCUUUUUCGAAAGAGUAAUGCUAGGAAGACUAAAUUUGGGAUUUGGAUUCCAUCCGGAUCCAAAUUGUGGGGAUCCUAAGGAUCCUCACAUUUUAGUCAUUCAUCGUGUAUCGUGCGAUUAGAAAUCAUUUGACCUUUUUAUUUAAAAUUAAACACAAAUAGUACCUGACGAAAACUAACCGCACGACGUAUGAUGAACGACUAGGAUCCCUAGGAUCCCCAUAAAGUGGAUUUGGAGAUGAUCAUCUUCCCUAAAUUUGUGGACUAAAUUAGCAAACUAAAUGAGGUGUCAUAAAUAAAAAAUGAGCACGUUUAUCAACGAUUAAGUAAUAAUCCAAUCACCAACUUUCAUGUCAUUUAGUUUACAAAAUUGAAUCUCCCUAGUAUUACUCCUUUCGAAAAUAUUAUGGAAAUAAUUCAGAAAAGAAACUUGAAAGGUUUGUGGAAAAUCAUUCUAAUAGUGGAAGAAGUAGGGAGACAUGCUUGCUUGUUCUCUUCUCUUCAUUGGAGUUAGAUUCCUAGGUCUGCAAACAAAGCAGCUCAUGCGACUGCAUCGUUGGCGAUACAGAGCUGUGCUUAUCUUCUCCAUUUUGAAGGAGUCUCUUUGUAUUUUCUUCCCAUGCUGCUUUGUUAAUGGAAUUCCUAUUGAAAAAAAAAUACCAAAUGAUCCACCGUAUUCACAAGCGCUUUAAUAACACUAACCUCUCUGCACGCGCUCACGCACAUGCGAGAGGCUUUUUUGCAUCACGGCUCUACGCACCCCAAAAAUGUGUUCUUUAGAUAUUCUUAUAUUUCUUAAGUGAUUACUAAAAAUAGAUAAGAGAUGUCAUUGCCAAAGGAGAUGGCCUCAUCCAACUAUUUAGGGAAAAACUUAAAAUGUAAUCGAAAUCGAGGGACUCUUUCAAAAGGGGAUUAGAUUCUUUCCCCAAAUCGCGAAUGAAGUGCGUACAAAGACUCUCAUUAUUUCCGCAUGAGACUGUAUUGCUCUUUUUUUUGUCAAAUGAUAGAUUUUGUUAGAUUAAAUGUUAUAUUAGCCACCGACGGAGUUCGAACCCAUACCAUCAUGCAAGGGGUCAACAUAUUUCCAUCACUGUGGUCAAGGGCCACUUGCAGGACUGUAUUGCUCAUUGCCAAAAGAUGAACUAAAAUGUGUAAUCUGAGGAUGUUUUAACCCUCAGAUUACUCAAAAGUCAUUGCUCAUUGCCAGUGUUAUCCAUUUAGUUUAGAUAUUAAUAGUGUCACUAUUGUUUUAAGUUACAAACAAACUAAUUAAGUCUGAGUGGUCAAAUAGUAUUUCUCCAAGUUGAAUGAAAUUUGCAUUCUAUUGAGAAAAAUGCUUUUUCUUCUUCUUUUAACAAAUUCAAUAUCGAAUAAAACUUGCUCACUGUCUGGAGUAUUUUCUAACAACCCACACAAAACAAUAAGCAUGGAGAUCACAGUUACCUACCAAGCAAAAUAGUCAAAUACAGAUAAGUACCACAAUAGAUCUUUUACAUAUCUCAAAACCACAUACAUCAUUUGACAUAGGAUUCAUCAUAGUAUUUGGUAGGGAAAAUUAAAAUUAUUUUUUUGUUUACACCACAACACUGACACCAUAAAUAUUAGUAACAAAGGCAAUCAGUCCUUUCAUUAUGCAGCCUUUAAUAGGAAAAAACAGAAAGCUCAAAUAUGUCGGCUUACUUUGCAAGAGUAGAUAUCGUACUAAUAAUUUAGGACGCUCUUCUCACCAAAUUGUCUCAAAUACAUAUCCUUUUCGUAUAGCUCGUAUGAAUGCAACUUGAAAAAUACUUGAAAAAUUGCUCGGAAGAAAUAUAUACAAACAAAAGCAAACUAAAAGUAAGCUAUUGAAAGAAAUUUAGAAACACACAAACAUCACUACAACUGAGACUUAAAACUCAACAAAAACCAAAUAGUAGAAACUGAAAAUAUAUAUGUUCUUGAAUCGAGAACUUCAUCAAACGAACAACAAUAAAUCUAAUACAAUCUGUCAAAAACCAAAAGGGAAAGAGAUAAUUUCAAGGCUCUAUAAUGUCGAGGCCUCGUACAGUAACACAAUAAUCUUGUACCAUUAUACAAUUUCAAGGCCUUGACACGAAAUGAUUGCGAAAGGCCUUUUUUUUUAAUCACAGCGCACUGCGCGCGACUCACAUUUUAAACGUAUUUAUCUGCGUGAAUUGCUUCACUUGUUUGUAUUUCAUUAUUUUCUUUCUUUAUGAGAUUUAUUAGAAACGUAAAAGAAAGGUGAUCAUCAUGUAUUAAUUCAAAGUUUACAGAAUUUGAGGGAGAAUAUUUGAUAGAAUUGAAAUAUUGUUCGUACCAAGUAGGACAAAACCCCAAACGGAGGAAAAAGACAUCCUAACAUUGAGAACAAUUUAUUUAAGAAGAUGACAAUAUGUGCUAUAUUGCUCCUAUCAUUUCUCUCCAUACUUGAUAUGUUGAACUCCAGUUGAAAACUUUUUGUAUUAAAAAAGGUCGUACCCAGUGCACAAGGCUCCCGCUUUACGCAGGGUCUGGGAGAGGUGAAUGUCGGCUAGCCUUACCCCCAUUUUAUGGAGAGGCUGCUCCCAAGUCUCGAAAAAUAAAAAAUAAAAAAAAAUAAAAAAGCACAAUAAUUUAUUUGACAAAAGAAAUGAGCACAUAAGGGAAAAAAUUACUGUAACAGUUAACUAACAUAUGAAAGUGAUACUAUCCUAAAAAUCAUGUCCUCAAAUGUGUAUCAUCAAUUUAAUUAAACUAUAGUGAGCAGCACAUUAGUCUUUUUUCUUCUUUUUUUUUUUUUUUUCUUUUUUUGUACGUGCAACAACACAGUGCAAGGGUUAGAAUAUAUGUGCAUGUAUAUGUUGCAUAAUAUAACAUGUGUAGAAGUUACAGAUGUGUUUGUGUUUCUUCAAUUUUGAGUUCAAAAUGAACGUCAUAAUUUCAAGUACUUCAUCUAAUAGCUAAUAAUGACAAUUGACAUGCCAAAUAGGUGAAAGAAUUCAAGAGAUUAAGGCAUUUGAAAUUCACCAAUGGGGUUGGAAUCGUCUUUGAAAUUAGAAGGCUGCAGAAUCCAUAGGAUAAAUAUGAAUGUUUUCAAAGCUACUGUCAAUGACAAACACAAAAAUAAUACAAACAAAGUUUAACAGGAAUCAAAACAUAUGUAUACAUAUACAUAAGCAUAUUAAUCCAUAAGUCAACAAUGAUCCAUAUACAGCCGAUAAGAAAAGUGUCAUAUAAGUGUUGCAUCGUCCCAUGUAAACUGGGACAACAUUGAACCGGACCAGUAGAAGAUUCACUUCAGAAUAGUUAAAAUUAUAUGAACUUAUUUUUCCGUGUAAUUAUGCAAUUAAACUCUUGUAUUACUUUCUUGCUCGUCCAUGGUAUCACAAAGUAGUGCACCACUGGCAAUGGAUUAAACACUGCCCAAAACAGCAAACACCAAGGCCUGCCUAACCAAUGAGGUUGCAGGCACAGAUUCUCACACACGACUCUGUUGUGUAACUCAUCAACACAUUGUAUCCAGUGAGGCAGUGAAAAAAGGACUACCUUGGUUCUUAGAUUAUAUGUUUAAGCUAAUAAGCAAGCAAGACAUCGAUAUUUCGAAAUCCCAUGACUUUUGGCAAGUACUUACUAAAUCUUAAGUCCAUAUAACAACUCAAAACAUUUUGAAUUGCACCAAGAGAGAAAGAAAAGCUAGCAAUCAUACCUCAGCUAACCCACCAGCAAUGACUUCGAUCGACACAAAGGUCCAAAUCUGAUCAACGUUAACAAAAAAACCCACUCACUAAAAUCAAUCCAAUACCUGUUUCACAAAUUACAAAAUGUGUUGAAAACCGAAAAUGGACGAAAAAGCAAAGAAGAAGCAUUCAAGAGAUUAAGGCAUUUAAAUAAUUAGAAGAAGUGGACAGAGAUUAGUAAAAAAUUGGGGAGGGAAGUGAUAAUCUCUGCAGUGAGGCAGUAAAAAAUGAGUCCAACUAAUCCAAUCUAUUCCUUUUUGUCUACUGGCUAUUGUGCCACACAGUCCCAAAAGUUUAGUUUUCUAAUUUCAUAUGUCUGGUAAAUGUGUCAAACCCAUUUAAAUAAAACACUUAAAAGAAAAUUCAAUGAGAAAAACGUAGGAAAAGUAAGUAUUCAAACUCUUCAAUGGAAAAGGAGAAGGCGCGGAGAAUUACCGUUUCACUCCGUUCUGGGCUUCAGAGAGUGAAAGAGGUCUUCAUCGCAACAACUUUAUUUUUUCCAUAUAAACAAGCUAUAAACCGAAGCAUAAACCCUAUAAACUUCCAUUACAGAUAGGAGGGAUUAAAUAUAAACCUGUGCACUGAAAAAUUUAACAUCUAAAGUUUCUUUUUCGUGAAAAUUGAAAGGAAAACAGAUGACUAAAAUGGAAGAAAGACAAAAGCCCAAUCACAUACUCGAAAGGAACACGACAUAUAUAGCUCUAAACGUACUUUUGCCGACCUUCUCUUUGAGCUUUAGGAACCGGAAUUGCGUUUACUGUAAAACUGAAUUGCAAUGAGAACCCAAUGAGGGGAAUCCCUGAUCAAAACAACAUCCAUCCUGAACGUGGUGAUUCAGUUUCAGCUGCAACAAUCAUUCCUUGAAAGUAUAGACAGUAUGCUAGCAGCCUAAAAUCCCAAAAACGCAAAACGCAUUACUAAAAAAAUUCAAACUUUGAAGCAAUUUCACAAAUUGGGAUCAAUAAUCUAAAAACCCAGUUCAAUUUUUCAUUGCUCGGAUGGAAAAAAUUGAGGAAUGAAAGAAAAAAUUAAGGUUAAGACUGAACUUGGCACUUGAACCAGAGACGGUUGGCUGAGGCCGGCGUUGUAGAGAGCUUGAGAAACCUUAUCGAACACACCGAGGGACGUCCACGAAAUGCUUUCUUCGAUGAAAAACGUAUCUCCUCCAUCCUUCCGGUACGCCGCGGUGGUGGCGAUUCCGAACUGGCGGGAGUGGCUGAGUCAAAGCAAGCUGAUCUGAAACGAAGACGAAGCAUUAGAAAGAAGAGAAAAGCAGUGCUCGAAUUGGGAAGGAGGUGGAUCGAUGUACGGAGAUUAGAAUUUUGUAACUGAACAAAUGAAGCAGAGAAGUUAUGAUAAAAGGUUGUGGGGGGUUUGAAAACUGAACGUCCUGAACGUGGUGGUUUUUCAAUACAUAUUUCUGUGCGGACUGUUUUUUUACCAGUUUAUCCUCAUUUUUUGAAAUGUUUUGGGUUUGGUUCUGAAGAAAACAAAGGGCCUUUCUUGGCAUUUUGAAAUGCUUCACCUAUUUGGCAUUCUCCCUUUAUAUAUACUAGCCUCUUCCCACACGCAUACGCAUGUGGCAAUUGGCCUUCUUAUAUUUUUUUAUUUAAAUAAUUAAUUUACAUAUUUAAAAAAAAUUUAAAAAAAAUGAAUUAAUGACGUGAAACCACCCAUUAACGUGGGAGGUUUUGUUUUUGUUUUUUUUUCUAUAAUUUUAAAUAUUAAAUUCAUUCAAAAUAAAAAUAUGGUUAAAUACUUUAGCUUCUUUUGGUUCAAUUGUAAUUUAUGAAAUUCUUAAAAGACAAUUUAAGGUAUUUUGAAUGUUUCACCAUUUGAAGGUGCUCACUUUAUAUAUAUAGAUGAAGGAGGAGUUUUGGGCUACCACUUAGAAAGGAAAAUGGUGAAGUUUUGUUACUUUAGAAGCUUGGCUACUAGCAAGACACAUCUUUCGUCAACUCCCUCGACCGGAGACUUGGGGGACUCCUACCAUAUGCUACUGCACCUUGAUACUCGGAAGUCUCACGACCACUCACUGAUUUGGAUUUUUCAAGUCUCCAACCGAGAAGUUUUCCUCACUCGGAAAAUUAAGGGAACACUACAUCAACCUACAUGCUUCACUCACAAAGCUUCAACAUACAAGCUUCAACAAAAGAAAAAAUUCAAAAAACUUAGUGAAAAAGACUUUGGUGUAUUUAACACAGUACGUUGAAAUGAAGCAAAACUUAUUUAUUGAUAUCUCCGAUAAGUUACAAAUAUGUACAUAUACAUGAGUCAAAAUAAACAAACAAGAGGGAGCCUUCACAAAGGUUGCUUAGGAGAAGUCUCAGCAGUCGGCAGAGCCCUAAAAAGAGAAUGCACCGAAGGAUGAUCAUUCGGAGCCUCAGUACUGGACAGAACCCCAGAAGGAGGAGGCAUCGGAGGUUGAUCAUUUGGAGAUUCAUUAAGCGGUACAGCCCUAGAAGACGAAGGCAAUAAAUGCCUUUGGAACAAACCCACAAACCUCUAAUGAUCAAGUAAAAUCUGAACAUCAGAUUCCUGCAUCUGGUCAAGCUUCAUCUUCAUGUUUGUAGCAUAGUCAUGUGCGAGCUUGUGCAACUGUUUAUUCUCAUGCUUGAGCCCUCUAAUCUCUUAUUUGAGGCUUAUCACUUCAGCCGCCAAUGAUUCAACUUGGCAGGUUCGAGCAAAUAGGCGUUGGGCCAUAUUAGACACAGAACCUGCACACUGAACACUGAAAGCCAUGGAAUCCUUAACAGCCAACUCAUCAGACCGUUUGGAAAAUAGUCUGUUAUCUUUGGGAGUGAGAAGGUUCCUGGCCACAACCGCAGCGGUCAUAUCAUUCUUCAUCACAAAGUCUCAAACGGUAAAAGGACCAGUAGGGGAUAAGAAGGAUGGGCGCCAUAUGUUGUCUUGAGGAGACAUAGCUGCCUCUUCACUAAAGUUCAAGUCAAAACGACGGUCGGAUGGGCCAAAUAUUUUCAGAAAUGAUGAAGGAGAAAUGAGGUCCAAUAAAUCUCUGAAGUACAAAAAUAAGGGGAAAAUUCCUACAAGCAAUAACUCUCUGAAUGUACUUCUUGCACACAAUUGGUGCCUUUAUAAAAGAAAGGGCAACAUGACCGUUGGUUCAAAAAUCGAAGAGGCACCACUUUCCACACGCAACAUCAGCUCAUCGGGUACCACAGAUAACUUUGCCAAAGAUCUCUGACAAAGUUUAGACACAUAAAUUUUGAAGGUCCAGCUACCAUAUUAUUACCCACAAGGGUAAAGGAACAGCACCACUGCUUGAUAACUGAAAGUCUCUAUGUGUGUCAACCUCUGUGCUCUGUGGUAAGGCAGACUGGCAAAAAUGCCCAACCUUUACUCACACUCCCAACAAGAUUGCUUGCUCAAAAAUCGAAGAGGCACCGCUCUCCGAAUCUCGAGAGUCAGACUUCCAACAGGAUUACUUGCUUAAAAAUCGAAGAAGCACCGCCCUCCGAAUCUCGAGAGCCAGACUCCCAACAGGAUUACUUUCUUAAAAAUCGAAGAGACACCGCUCUCCCAAUCUCGAGAGCCAGACUCCCAACAGGAUUACUUGCUCAAAAAUCGAAGAGGCACCGCCCUCCGAAUCUCGAGAGCCAAACUCCCAACAAGAUUACUUUCUCAAAAAUCAAAGAGACACCGCUCUCCGAAUCUCAAGAGCCAGACUCCCAAUAGGAUUGCUUCCUCAAAAAUCGAAGAGGCACCGUUCUCUGAAUCUCGAGAGCCAGAUCCCCGACAUGAUUGCUUGUUCGAAAAUCGAAGAGGCAUCGCUCUCCGAACUUCGAGAGCCAUAUUUCCUUGGAUAAAGCUUGUCUGCAAUCUUCACACGCAACAUCAGCUUUCCUGAUACCACAGACCACUUUUUCAAAGUGCUCUGACAAAGUUAAAACAUGUGAAGCUUGCAGCUUCCACUACAUUGCUAUGACCAAGAAGGGUAAAGGAAUAACAUUACUAUUUGUUGUUAGGGAGACUCCUAUAUAUGUCAACCUCCAUCCUCCACGGACAGGCAGACCUGCAAAAAUGAUCAACCCUUCCUCAUAUCUGAGAGGGCACUUCCAACGAAGCCUCUCGAAAUACUCAGCUUUCUUCCCCCCUAAUAAUACCUAUGCAAACCAGCCACACCAGAGCAAGAGUAUCUCAUAUCAUCAGGAUCAAAAGCAAGAGUAUCCCAUAUCAUGCUUUUUCCCUGUCUUUUCCUUUGCCCUUGUUCUUACCUACAAGACAAGGAGAAAGAGAGCAAUCAGUCAGCACUUGGAAUCAAGCUUCCAGUCAGGAACUAACUGCCUGGAACCCCUUGCCUGAUUACUUACCUGGCAUUGCUCUCGAGUACUCAUCUUCAACAUCUUAUGCUUCCAGAGAAGAUACCACAUCUACCUGAGGAACAGAUAGGGCAAGUGAGAAUGAUACAAGGAAACAUGUGGAGACAAGCGUAACAGAACACGUGCCGAUACAUCCACUACUUUGUCAACAACAAAAGUAUCCCAUAUCAUCAGGGUCGAACGUACUCUAAAUUUGAUGGACUUGUUUUGNNNNNNNNNNNNNNNNNNNNNNNNNNNNNNNNNNNNNNNNNNNNNNNNNNNNNNNNNNNNNNNNNNNNNNNNNNNNNNNNNNNNNNNNNNNNNNNNNNNNNNNNNNNNNNNNNNNNNNNNNNNNNNNNNNNNNNNNNNNNNNNNNNNNNNNNNNNNNNNNNNNNNNNNNNNNNNNNNNNNNNNNNNNNNNNNNNNNNNNNNNNNNNNNNNNNNNNNNNNNNNNNNNNNNNNNNNNNNNNNNNNNNNNNNNNNNNNNNNNNNNNNNNNNNNNNNNNNNNNNNNNNNNNNNNNNNNNNNNNNNNNNNNNNNNNNNNNNNNNNNNNNNNNNNNNNNNNNNNNNNNNNNNNNNNNNNNNNNNNNNNNNNNNNNNNNNNNNNNNNNNNNNNNNNNNNNNNNNNNNNNNNNNNNNNNNNNNNNNNNNNNNNNNNNNNNNNNNNNNNNNNNNNNNNNNNNNNNNNNNNNNNNNNNNNNNNNNNNNNNNNNNNNNNNNNNNNNNNNNNUCUUGAAGAUUGUAAUCAUCUUUGAUGUCUAUUAAAAUCUUUAACGUUUCACUUCAAAAAAAAAAAAAAAAUGCGGACUCUGGUCUCCUCCAUUAAUAGAAAAAUAAAGGUUUUCUCGGUUUAUCUCAUGAACUUGUAAGCAAUUGCCAAUUUCUUUAUUUAAAAACAGUUAUUCCCCCCGUACUCCCCACCCUCCAUUAAUAAAAAAAAAAAAAAAAAGGAGAUGGUUUUCUCAGUUUAUCUCAUGAACUUGUAAGCAAAUACCAAUUUCUUUAAAACAAUUAUUCCCCUUCAACACCCCCCCCCCUCCUUCCCUUGCAACAUUUUUGGUAAGGGGGUAGGUCACCCCAAAAGCAACUCAACAAAUUAUUGGGGCUUUUAGAUCUAGGUCCAAAAACAUAGAUGAUUUUUAGGAGUAAAUCUAGUUAUCUAAUUACAUGUUUUUAUUUCUUUUAUACUCAUUUAUAUUUUAAAAAAAUAUUAAAAAUCAAUUAAAAUCUUCUAAUAUUAUGCAUUUUUCAACUCCAAAAAAUCAAUUAAUAUCUUACAACAACAAAAACUAAUAUACUAACAUAAAUUAUCUACAAAACAUUCUACCUUAACUCAAGUAACAAAUAUAUGAAUAUAUAUUAUGCAUGUAAGCGAGAUAUGAAACCUAACUAAAAGGUAGGAAAAAACAUAAUAUAUCUACAAGCAAAACAUUAAUUUGUGACACGUUGAUUAUAAAAAAGAAUAUGUCAUAUAGAUACAUAAAAAUAAUUAACCUGUGAUAUAGGUUGAUUAUAAAAAUUAAAUAAAAUCUAUAAAUGGGGUUUAAAGGAGGAGGAAGAACAAGAAAUAACAAGAAAUAAAAAUAAAAAGAAAUAAUCAAAGAGAUAAUUAGGAAGAAAUUUGAUUUUUAUAAUAAAUAUUGUCAUUGAAUAGAUAAUUCUUGAUAAUAAAAUAAUUAAAUUUCAGAAUUGAACUUAUUUUAAUAAAUUGGACUAUUCCUACAAUUGGCUAAAUUGGACUUAUAUCAAGUUUUCCCUUAUUAUUAUUAUAAACAGUCCGAGUCCUAGAGACUUUGAUCAACUUCAAUAAAUAGCUCAUUAUCUCUUUUGCUAAAUUUUCAAAUUUUGAAUUCAUUACUUUGUUCUUCUCAUGUGGACAAAACGCGAGCCACUUAAGAUGAUAACAAAAUCAUUUUAUUGCAAUAUUGGGGUCUAUGGAUCAGACUCGCACGAGGGCGAAUUGGGUAUCGUGGCAAUGGACUUUGGUGAAACCAAAAGUUGUAUUUACCCAUGAAUGAGGAAGGCAAGCACGUUGGGAUGUUUUCUGUGGGCCGUGCCAUGCCAUCAAAACUGGCCCAAAAUCAAAGAGCUGCCAUGUUGCUCAUAAAAACGACUAGCCCCCUAUUAAUGUAGUGUUGAUACUUGAAAACAGAUUGCAGCACUGAGGCAGCUUACGCAGCAAGAAUUGAUAGAUUUUUUCAAUGAGCAUAUAAAAGUUGGGGCACCUCAAAAGAGGUCAUUAAGUGUACGAGUGUACGGGAACUCACAUUCAUCCGAGUACACUACGGAUGGAAGUUCACCUGUGAAACCUUGCUAUGUCAAAAUCGACGAUAUAUUCAGCUUCAGAAGGUCACAGCCUCUUUAUGGUUCAUUCAAGGGAAAUCAUGUGAAAUUGUAGAGACUUGAGAAUUACAUAUCUGGAUUUGCAAAUGGAAUGGCUUCACCUUUGACAAAAUUGUCGAAGAAUAGCAUCGGUUGCAGACAGCAGAUUUGGGAGAAAGAAUUUGAUAGCGAAACCCAAAUCUUAAAAUCUAAGCAACCAGAUUCACCAAAUAAGAAAACCCUAUUCGAAUUCAAUUGAUUUCAAAAGAAACAACAGCAAAAAUCAUCGAGAGGGAAAACUCACAGAGAAGGGAUUGACUACGUCUUCUUCUGCAAAAGGUUAGUGCCGUAACGACCAACCAUGGGAGAGAGUGAGAUUUGAGCGCCCAAAGAAUCUUGGUUUUUUUCUAGAAAACCUUGUUGUAAGGAUGUAUUAGUACUUUCAUAUUAAGUUUUGGUUAUAAUUAUCGAGAGCUGUUAUUCCCACCCCAAUGUCUUAUCUUCCCACCCACUUUUUUAUGAAUUUUUUAAUUACAAAUUUGUCAAUUUGUAAAUUGACUAAUAAGGACCUUAGUUACCC